AUAAGAACUCGACGCACAAGUUGUUCAGCCGCAACAAAAAUGAGUAAAUGAAAAUGUCCAAAUUGGGCUCAGUCAGCCACUUUCCCUUCCCUCGUGUCAUGUGACACGUUCCUGUCACAAGGUCACAGGUGCGAAUGGGGAAGCAGGUGUGUUAAAUUUGGCGUCAGGGUUCUCAUGCGGUCGGAUGUUGGUCAGUGGGAGUUUAAUGCAAAGAACUCAGGGAGGAUUUCAAGAAGAAAUGUGACUUCACAUCAAAGUGCAGCAAUUGACUACUACUGUCAAUUGUAGUGGUCUUUUGUCCCAAGAUUUAAUAAAAUACAGUAUUUACAAAAAGGUGAAAAUGUUGAAAACAUCCAUCCGUUCAUUUCGUGUAGCGCUCAUCCCCAAAAGGUUAGAAGAGGAACUGGAGCCCAUCCCACCUGACUUUGUCCAAGGGAGUCAGAUUGGGGGUUUUCGGAAGAGGGAUGGGCUCCCUCAGCG